CCUUUAGUGACGUGUGCACCUAAGCUACGCGGCCCUGUUGCUUCCUUGUAUGCAAAUCUCUGUUUCUGUUUUCAACAACAGGAAGCUGUCUAUUACUUUGGUUUCUGUCAGUGAGGAGACUUCAAACUUGAUUUUAAAUGGAAACUAAAAGUGAUUUGAAAGGAUUUGCUCAUAUAAAGGUUUUGGGACAUCCAGCAGAUCCAACUAUUAUUCUAGGACACCAUUUUGACGCUGGUGGUUACUGGAUUAAAGAAGAGCUGUGUGAUAUGAAAAAUAGAAUGUUUCUACUGCAGUUUCUGCUUCUUGGAAAAGAAAAUCGCAUCAUGAUGUGCUUUAGAUUCGUCAAUAACAAAUGGAUUUUGUAUGAUGACGACCCAGUAAAACUCGGUAUCCCUGAGAUUGGAGAAGAUACAGGAGCACAGCCACUCUAUUCGUGUGCAAGGAGUUCAGUGUUGGAUCUUGAAUAUUCAGAGAAGGAUGUAGAAAUGGAAGAUCUGUCAGGUUAUGUGGUGGCAAUUCCUGAGACCAAUUACUCUGUAGCUAUGCCUAUGUUAUUGCAGGUGCUGAUGAGUGAAGGAAGGUUUUCCUACAUAAAAGCUGAUGUUUUAUUUUGCUCAUACCAGUUAAAAAGAUCAUGUGUUCUUGACUCCCUUUUAGCUGCCUUUCAUAUCACAUUCAAUAUAUUUCCAAAUGUCGAACGUCUGUUUAAUACAGACGCGUUAAUCCAAAAACUUAUGGCCUUAUUAAAUGCAAGAAAGUAUGCUGAGGCCAAAGUUAUUUGCGCUAAGCAGCUGAACCAUGUUAGAUUUGAUCACGGGCUUAAAGAAAUAGACUAUUUUGGCCGUCUGGAAGACCAUUCUAGUUUGUUUUAUAACCUGGAAUGUGCAGAAAUGAAACCAGACCAAAAAAUCCCAAAUGAUAGUCCCAUAUGUGAAGACAUACUUAGGUAUGUAAAGUUUUAUACUUUCACCACAAGGAUAAUUGUCUUUGUAAGUAAUAAAAAUUAUUUAUUGUUCUAAAAUUCUUAUUCUCUGAACAGUAAGAAUUUUUUUUGUUUUAUUUUUUGCAGCGAAUUGAAAGGAUUUGAUUCUGUAAAGGCUUUGGGACAUCCGGAAGAUCCAACUGUUUUUCUGGGAUACUAUUUCAACACUGGUGGUUACUGGAUUGAAGAUGAACUGUGUGAUAAGAAACAUAGAAUCUUUCGUCUACAGUUUCUGCUGCUUGGAAAAGAAAAUCACAUGACUAUGUGCUAUCGAGUCUCUAAUAACGAUUGGAUUUUGUAUGAUAAUGACUCGGCAAAGCCUACUUUCCAGUCUUUAUCUUCUGAUCAGAUUAAAGACUGUGUAAUUUGUUUGGCUGGAUAUGUUAAUAUAUCUCAGGCACAGGAUUAUAAACUGGGUAUUUCUGAGACUGGAGACGUACCAGGAGCAAAGCCGUUCUAUUCAUCUGCAAGCGGUUCCUUUUUGGAUUUUGAACAUUCAUUGGAGGAUGCAGAAAUGGAAGAUUUGUCCGGUUAUUCUGUAGCGCUUCCUGAAACUAGAGGAAGAUUGGGAUCACAGCCUUUCUAGAUGUGAAACCAAAAAAUUCUGGCAGCACUUUAUUUUCACGUUUUGUUAUUUUAUUAGCUUCCAUCGGUUAGGUGGGGAAGACUCCAGGUCCGACCUCCAACUGCUGGAGGGCCUGGACCUUCCCUUUAUGUUAAUUUUAUGAUUUGCUGCCAAGUUCAUGUGUAUGAUUGCUCUCUUUUGCUUCAAUAAAAUAUGGAUUUUUGUCUUA